rnacentral:rRNA from 1 species
AUGAAGAUUGUCCCCGAGGACAUCGCGUCCCUCCACCGAUCAAGCAUCGGGCUGCUGCUGCGUUGCCUCAUCGUGCCGCUGCGUCGCCACCCUGUUGUUCUCCCCACCGCUGCAUCGACCCGUGUGCUGCCGCUACAUCACCCAUUCAGGACGUAUAGUCAAGGCCCGCGGUCUACUGCCGCCCUGAGGCCGUCCUAUCUAGGUAGUCCCCGUGGCUGCACCGACCCUCGUGCUGCCUCUGUGUUGCCCCAUCUGGCCAUAGCGAGCGUGGCACGCGGUCUUAGCCAUUGCCCGAGGCCGUUGAGCGAUUCCUGGAUUAUGGGGUCCUCGGGUGUCCGAGUUAUGUAA